AGUGGAUGUCAGGUCUCAGUCUUUGGAUACUCCAACUAACAAAAGUUUCUGGUUUAUCUUUCCUGGAUUCCCUUUACAGAAAGGGAGCUAGCUAAGGCUACUCAUGCUUCCUCUCCCCCUAACAACCCAAAGAGCUCCCCAUAAAGUUCAAAGUCAACUGUGGUAUCUUUAAAAUUUAAACAUUAUCAGAACACAAAUCAAUAAAGUGUUAACUCUCUUAUCAGUCAUCUGCCAUGAACAACAAACAUUUUAAGUCAGCAGUUUGCAAACAAGCCAUGGACUAAUAUUUGUUUGCAUAAACUAUUCAGUACAGAUGCAUAAAAGAAAUUUAGUGGGAAUCAGGAUUAGCUUACAAAUGAUCUGCAAAAAAAGAGAAGAAGAGAAGAGAAGAGAAGAGAAGAGAAGAGAAGAGAAGAGAAGAGAAGAGAAGAGAAGAGAAGAGAAGAGAAGAGAAGAGAAGAGAAGAGAAGAGAAGAGAAGAGAAGAGAAGAGAAGAGAAGAGAAGAGAAGAGAAACACAUAAGCACAACAAAAAACUCCUAGAGUUAUUGGAUAUUUUAUUUAUAAUUAGUAAUUAAAUCAGCUCUAGUAUGGAUGCUGACAAUAUCAACAUAGCAUGUUUUCUGCUAGAUUUAUCACAUAUUUAUUUAAAAAAAAAAAAGCAGCACAGCAACCUAUUUACUUUCGACAUGAGUCAAUAGUGGUGUGGAUAAUGAGCACAACAGUAAAGAAAUUUGACUUAAACUUCAGUUUCAGAGCUGGCAAGGGUGAAACAAAAAUGAGUAGUCAGAAAGACUGAGAUUACAGUAAUGAGAUGCCUGCCUACAACUCCUCCUGCCUCCAUAGUCCAUGGCAAUACUCAAUAUCCUUUGGAGACAGUUUAGAGACAGGAGCACCCUUUCUCAUUCUCUUAAUGAACUUCAAUAGUGCCUCUAUUUGAACUUCAGUAAAGUUUGCAAAACGAGCAAUUUUUGAGAUUUUCUAUAUGUUUGUAUUUUAGCUUCCACAUGAAUAAAAGAAGCAGGGCAAUCUUUGGCAGCAAGCUGACAAACUCAGUGAGGUGAUCUCUAAACUAGAGAACCUGGGGGCUAGGGUCCACAAUGGCAGUGCUUACAUCAUUGUAAAUAACUGGGGAAUGAGACAAGCCAACCAGAACAGCGAUGGAUGUUAUUUAGCUGACUUCCAUGACACAGAAUCACAGAAUCAGUCGAUUUGAAACGUACCCUUAAAGGUCAUCUAGUCCAACCCCUCUGCAAUGAGCAGGAACAUAUACAGCUCAAUCAGGUGCUCAGUUCCCCAUCCAUCUUGACCUUAAAUGUCUCCAAGAAUGUGGCAUCCACCAUCUCUGUGGGCAGCUUAUUUCUGUGUCUCACCACAUUUAUCAUAUUGUCUUUUUUCUUCACACCCAGUCCAAACCUCUGCUUUAUUUUGAAACCAUUUCCCCUUGUCCUGUCACAACAGACUCUGGUAAAGAGUCUGUCCCCUUUUUUCUUGUCGCCCCAUUUAGACCUCCUAAAGCUGAUAUCUGUUCUCCCCAGAGCUUUCUCUUUUCCAGACUGAAAAGCCCCAGCUCUCUCAGCUUGUCCCCAUAGGAGAGAUGUUCCAUCCCUUGCAUCAUUUUUGUGGCCUUCCUCUAGAUGCACUCCAACAGGUCCAUGUCUCUUCUGUACUGAGGACUCCACAUCUGGAGACAGUACUCCAGGUGAAGCCUCACCAGCACAGAGUAGAGGGCCAUGAUCAUCUUCCUCAAGCUGCAGACCACACUUCUUAUGAUGAAGCCCAUGAGUCAAAAGGUCAGCCACUUCAAAGGUAUUUAUAGCUAUGGGGGUCCUCCUGCAUCCCUCUAGGAAAACCUCAGUACUCUGCUCCCUUUUCUUCUCUGUAGUGCCUGUAUACCAAUGCACACAGCAUGGGGAAUAAAAGAAAGAGCUAGAAAUCUUUGCAGUUGCAGGGCCACAAUCACAUGAUGUUCACAUAGACAUGGAGAUCCACAUUUUCCCUAGUCUUUGUUUUGCUAUUGACAUACCUAAAAAACUGAAAAGCUUGCUCUUUAAUGAGGUAGGUGUCCUGAUAACAGAGGACACUGAGAAGAUGGAGUUAGUGAAAAACUUCUUUGCUUUAGUCUGUACUUCUGAGACUGCCCCUCAUGAGUCUGGAGAACGAGAGAAUUCCUCUUGGUUGAGUAGGAUCUGAUUAGAAAUUAUCAAGAUAAACUUAGCACUCAAAAAUCCAUGGCCCCAUGAGUGCUGAAGGAUCUGGCAGAAGUGAUUGCCAAAUCAUUCUCUUUCAUCCAUAUGAAGACUGGAGGAAAGCCAAUGUCACUUCAGUCUUCAAAAAGGGCAAGAAGGAGAAUCUGGGAAACUGCAGGCCAGCUAGCCUCACCUCUGCCUCUGAGGAGGUGAUAGAACAAUUUAUUCUGGAUAUUACCUCCAAAAAAAUGGAAGAAAAGCAGGUUACCAGGAGUAGUUAACCUGGAUUCACCAAGGGGAAAUUGUUCUUGAGCGAUGAUGUUAUCUUGACUUCUAUGACAUUGUGAAUGGCUGAUAGUAUGAAGAGAGAGCAGUGGAUGCUCUGUACCUUGAUUUCAGCAAGUCUUUUAACACUCCCAUAACAUUGUUGUAGGUGAGCUUAGGAUAUGUAGGAUGGAUGAGUGGACAGUGGUGUGGACUGAGAACUGGUUGACUGGCAGAGCUGAGUUCUGUGACCAGAAGACAGAAUGCAUCCUCAGCAAGUUUGCUGAUGAGAUGAGGCUGGGAGGAGCAGCUGACACACCAGAAGGCUGCUGCCAUUCAACAAGGCCUGGACAGUCUAGAGAGAAGGGCAGAGAGGGACCUAAUGAGGCUGAACAAGGGCCAGCAUAGGGUCCUACAGUUGGGGAACAAUAACCACAUGCAUUAGUACAGGUUCUAGACUUGCUGGGAAGGAGCUCUGCGGAGAAGGAUCUGAGAGUCCUGGCCAUGUACCAGGAGAGUGCCCUUGUGGCUAGAAGUUCAAUGGUAUCCUGGAGUCCAUUAAAAAGAGAAUGGCCAGCAGGGCAAGGGAGGUGAUCCUCCCCCUCUUCUCUGUCCUGAUGAGGCCACUUCUGGAGUACUAUGUUCAUUCGGGCUCCCCAGUUCCAGAAAGAGAGGAAGUUUUCUGAGAGAGAGCCCAGUGGAGGGCUACAAAGAUAAUUAGGGGCCAGGAGCAUCUCCUGUAUGAGGAAAGACUGAAAGACAAGGGACUAUUCAGCCAAGAGAAGAGAAGACUGAGAGGAGAUCUUACCAACACUUACAAAUAUUUAAAAUGCAGGUGUCAAGGAGAUGGGGCCAGGCAUUUUACUUUUACACCUAUGUGCCCAGUAACCGAACAGAACAAGGAUCAAUGGUCAUAAAAUAGUACACAGGAAAUUCUAUCUGAACAUGAAAAACUUGUGAUGGAGCACUGGAAUGGACUGGAACCACAAGAGGUGGUGGAGUCUCCUCUGGAGAUAUGCAAAAGCUAUCUGGGUACUUUGCUGUGCAACCUACUAUAAUAAACCUGCAUUAGCAGUGGGGUUGAACUAGAUAAUCUCCUAAAGUCAUUUCCAAACCCUACAAUUUUGUGAUCCUGUGAUUUCCAGGCAUUUAUCUGAAAAGCACUGUUUGAUGAUUGAAG
ensembl:lncRNA